AAAAUGCGAUAAUAUGUGUGAAUUGCGAAAUUGCGUGAUCAUUGUACUCUUGAAUGCAUCUGGCAAGCAGCCUUAUGGCGCUUAUUGACGGGAGAACGUAAAUAUUUCUAUACCAAGUUCUUUGAGUACGUACAACAUGAAUGUGUUGUAUAACUCGUGCAACACGACUGUGUUAUGCAAGGCUCUUGGUGAAUGGCAUCUUACAGAGAUGUAAAUUUGCUGAAAUGAGCGUUCUACGCUUACACGACGAUUAAAGUUUUUUGAAUUUCAAAAAAAAGUCGUCGUUGCAGCAGGAGAAAUUAUUUAUCAACAUCGUACUUCUCUUGUCAAGGAUUACCCACUGAACUUAAGC
rnacentral:misc_RNA from 1 species